UUGCUUUGGCAGCACAUAUACUAAAAUUGGAACAAUACACAAAAGAUUAGCAUGGCCCCUGUAUAAGGAUGACACACAAAUUCGUGAAGCGUUCCAUAUUUUU
rnacentral:snRNA from 1 species